rnacentral:rRNA from 1 species
UACGUAGGGUGCAAGCGUUGUCCGGAAUUAUUGGGCGUAAAGAGCUCGUAGGCGGCUCGUUGCGUCGGCUGUGAAAACCCGCAGCUCAACUGUGGGCUUGCAGCCGAUACGGGCGGGCUGGAGUUCGGUAGGGGAGACUGGAAUUCCUGGUGUAGCGGUGAAAUGCGCAGAUAUCUGGAGGAACACCCGUGGCGAAAGCGGCUCUCUGGGACGGUACUGGACGCUGAGACGCGAAAGCGUGGGGAGCAAACAGG